AUGAAUUUGUGGGUUGUGGUGAUGCCGGGAUGUGCAAUAGCGUAUCCUGGCCAGCCCGCCCGAUAAUCUCAAAUCCUGUGAACUUGUAAACUGUUUGUUGCUUGGCGGGUGUUUCUGGGGGGUUUUCCUUCCCGGCCUGCCAGCAGUAUUUUAUAAACCAUUUUGAUUGAGUUGUCUGAAACAAAAUAUAAAAAAUAGCUUA
rnacentral:misc_RNA from 1 species